UUUUCCUCUCCUCCUCUCCAUCGUUCGCUCCCAUCGUUCUCCUCACAAAAUUAUUGAUGUGGCACGGUGGUGCUCAGCGGGGCCUUGGCGCCGGCGAGCCUGGGCUGCAUCUUGCGGCGGCGGUUGGCCGAAGAAUCCUCGCCGCCAUCGAAGACGGCGGAGGAGGAGGGAGCAGGCGCCAUGAACUGUGUGAGGAUCCGAAGUGCUCCGUGGAUGGUGGUGCCGAUGGAGGGGACGGUUCCCACGACCAUGGCUGCGAUGAUGGCCGGCUCGGAUUGCUGCAGAAGCCAGCGCACGGUCUCGCCGUCCGGCUUGUGCCCUAGCUGGGUUCACGCCUCCAUGGAAGAAAAACAAAUCGAAGGACGCGGACUCCAUCACCGUGGGGGUGCAGGCCGUCGUCCUGGGAGGCGAAAUCUUGCUCACGGUCGACCUCCAUGAUGUCAUGGAUGUCAAGAUGCUGAUCGCGGCAGCACCCAUCUCUCCUUCCAUGCCCUGUCUCCCCCCCGAAUUGGCUGGCGGCACAAGGGAGGACCUCGGUGCUGUCGUCUCCAUCCUGGCGCAACAUGGGAGUAGUCGAUGCUAGCUGUUGCUCUCUUCUGGAUGCAGCCCUCUGUGAUGCUUCUUCGUUCCCGUGUUUCAUGUUGCCUGAUCUAGCCAAAGGAAUUAAGAAAGAACCAGAAGAGAAAAAGAAAUAUAGAGGUAUACUUCUUCUCUGAACUGAUCUAGCCACAGGAAUUCAGGAAGAACCAGAAGAGAAAAAGAAAAUAGAGGAAAUGUAAAUUUUCUCAAGAAAGGGGAUGAGCAGCCUACUGAAUUAUGUCUUUGUUUGCUGCUUCUGGAGUGGCAGCACAUCAUGUUUCUUUUGGUAAGUUUUUUGGGUUUUUGUUAUUACCAUAUAUGAACGAAAAAGAUACUUCAAUUUCUUCUAUCUUCUUCCGCACCAAUAAGGAAAGAGUAUAUGAACGAAAAAGAUACUUCAAUUUCUUCUAUCUUCUUCUGCACCAAUAAGGAAAGAGGAUGUCGAGACUGAUCUCCCCGGUCUCUUUUUAUUUUUCAUAUGGUUGAUUACUUCCUUGAUUUUUUUUGUUAUACAUAUAUGCAACUGAGUUACAGACUUUCAAAUCUGGGUUUAUGCUUGGUGUCACACCUCCAUGUAAAUGGUACAUAAAUACUCUUCAACUAGACAGAACUUGCUAUGUAGAUAAGAUUAUUAUUAUAGACCUUUAUGUCCGACCAUGAUUUUUUUUGAACUGAAUUCGACCAUGAUUGGUAAUGGAGAAAUUGGUGAAAUCAUAAUGUCCAGAUAAUGCCAUAUGGAGAUAAAGUUUAUAAAUAGAUGCUCCUAUGUCAUGGGAAAGCAAGCACAUAUAUUUUAUAGCUCUGUUGAUGCCCAAAAGCAGCUUAUCUUUUACAAGGCAUCAUGCUGAUUUCUUUAUAUGCGGGCCAUCGUAUUUUGUACAUACUUCUUGAUUUAUGAAUUCCUAGGUGCUGGUCGAUAUCUUGUGUCUGCAAAGUUCUACUAUUUUCGUGCCACUUUGAAUAUUCCUAUGACAGUUAGAAGUGUUUUCUCAGAUUUCACUAACCACCUCCUGACUUCUUUUGACUGAUAGAAUUGCAGACCUUUUGAUCAGAGAGUGAAAACUCUGGUGGAUGCUUAAAUUACAACAUAAGAUGAAAUCUCAGUUUUUAAUUUCACAUCAGUGAGCAAAGCAACACGUUCAGGCACAAGCUAUUCCAUUUAUUUAAGCUUCUUUAAUACUUCUGCUCAGCCUUUGGCCUUUCCUUCACCUCUCAAUUGAUUUCAUUUCCUCACAUCUGCCCCUCCCCCAUUCCUUUUUUGGUUUCCCUGCAUGGAACGAUGAAGGACGCCACCCAUUGCCAUGAUUAAGAACUCCCUCCCUCCUGACCUCAGCGACCACUGCUGCACAUCGGUGCAUGCCAUACCAUGGCAUGACAAUGCCGAUGGCAAGCGGGCCAAUGGUUAGGUACAUGAUAUUUUAUACACUCCGGUUCUUAUUUAGAUAUGCACAUACAUGUGAUUCCAGGCAUGUAAGGAGAAGCAGCAGCGCGAUAAUAUGCGCAACCCAUUAUUAUGGAUCUUCUAUAUAUAUUGUGCACUAUACAUCGGAAAUAUUUUGCAUGGCAUGGUUUACAUUCUUGCCUCACCACCCUUGCCUUUUGGUCUAUAUCUUUCAUCUUUAGGUUGGACUUGAGGUUGAUCAUCGUGGUCACUAACUACUGGAGGUGUUGUUCUGUGAGCCUUCUUGCAAAAAUGGAAGGUAAGGUUAUGCCAACCACUGUUUUCUUCCUUGGUCUUGCAAGAAAUUCUGUUAUGCUUCUCUAUACCAUUGCCAUAGUUUUGCUUAUAUUUUUAUGUAUGUCGUACAUAUUUAUUUUCCUUCAGUUAUUUAACAAAUGCAUUACAGAGGAUAUGUUUGUCGCAAACUUCCUUGAUGCACAUUGUCACAUCAAGGGUCGUUAUUGUUCGUGGUAAAAAAGGAAAGAUUCUCCCUAAGGUUAUUUCAGUUUUCAGUCGACCUUAUUUUUCUAUUCGUUAUUGUUCGUGGUAAAAAAGGAAAGAUUCUCCCUAAGGUUAUUUCAGUUUUCAGUCGACCUUAUUUUUCUAUUCGAUAGGUGUUCACUGAGCUUUACAUGUAAAUAGUCAGAUCCCACAAGUGCUAUGUGGACCUAAUGCUAUGCAACUUUGUCUCUGAUGAAGCUCUCGGAUAUGUAUUAUCAUAAGCAAGUUAUUUAUCAUGGACCAAGGCCUACAAAAGCUAGGUCUUGCUAUGCAUGGAACCAAUCAUUGGUUUUUUUUUGUGUUGAUGUUCUAUCUUUAAUGGAAUUGAGUAGCCCAAUAUAGGAUAUUUUAUGGAGAUGAAGCACACCGCUACUUUUUUUUAAGGGAUGAGUUGCCCUACCGCUAGAUUGGCAAAGGUAUACAUUGAAUAAUAACCAACUAUGUAGUCAUAUUCAUAGACUACAAAAAUACUCCUGUUUCUUGGUGUGAUUUAGUCAUUUAGAUUAAAAAAUUCUAUUUUGCUUCGUAAGAUUUUGGUAAAAAAGUGUUCUGCCAUUACUGCUUAUUGUAUGUUGUCAAGUAGAGUAACUACUGUCAGGUAUUUCUGAAAUAGACUGGUUGAUAAACUAGCCUAUUAUGAUGAUUAGCUUUAGCUUUGUUUCUGUAAAUCAUUGCAGGUCAUCUUCACUGCCUUCGCCCUUCAUAGGGAUGGUUGUUCUCUUCUGGUACCACGUGCCUAAAUACAAAAUCAAUGACACCAGACAGAGCUGUACAUAGGUAUUUUGAUCCUAGCUGCGGUGUUACCAAUGCUUUGUGCAUUGUAUCCAACCUUUUGGUUCCAAUAAACAGCACCUGAUGGGGAUGGCUCGUGGGUUGACAAACUAAACGCGAAAGCUUCAGAGCUCAAGCCACUUGAUGCAUUUGAUUCCCACGUAGGGGGCAUUUAGCCAGUGUUCCGUUUUCUGUACAUCUCUAGGUGUCAACCAGAAAACUAUCUUCUCUGUACGUCUACUCACUGCAGUGUAUUGUCAUGUGUAUCUUUGUUGGACACUACUGUAAUCUCACUGCUAGGGCUCAACUGAAUAAAACUGCUUUUUACUAUUGUAA